AAAAUAUUAAAUAUUACGAUUUAACGGUCGUUACUCGUUUCUUAUUACUGAUAUCUCAUACUCUCAUUCCUGCAUAUUAAUUAUUAACUGUUUCGUCUCAUUUUACUUAUUACUUAUUAUUUUUCAAAUGUCAAUUAGUUUAUGAACAAAACCAAUAAUGAAGAGAGUUGGGAACCAACCAGCAAAAAUUCAGAAAAAGUACCGAGCAGAAGAUGACGCUAAAGAUCCUAUUCAAGUUUAUUGUCGAAUUCGCCCCGUCCAGUCUAAUUUAGAAUCAUCAUGUAUCAAAGUUGUAUCCGACACUGAAAUACAAAUAUAUUGCUCGCCAGAUGAGAGAGGAAUAUCUAGGGAAGGACAAUUCAGUUACAAGAAAAUAUUCACUGAAUAUGAGACCCAAGAAGUGGUCUUUCAAGACUUGGGAUUGCCACUAAUUGAACAACUUUUAACUGGAAAAAGUAGUCUAAUAUUUGCAUAUGGAAUAUCAGGUAGUGGCAAAUCGUAUACAAUGACUGGUAAUCAGGAAGAUGGCGGUAUUGUUGGAAGAUGCUUUGAUGUAAUAUUCAAUUCUAUUCAAAAUUACCAAGCUAGAAGGUUUACUUUUAAACCUGACAAGCUUAAUGGAUUUGAUGUAUAUAGUAUGGAAGAUGCCUUGUUUUUUAAAUCUGAGGAUUUCAAAAAUAAUGUUAAAAACCCUUCUAAAACAUCAAAAAAGAAAGAUGGAGAUACAGAUCGUAUACCAUUUAAUUAUAAAAUUAUGGAUAUAGAACAAGAUGUAGCAUAUUCAGUCUUUAUAAGCUAUGUAGAAAUAUAUCAUAAUUACGUGUAUGAUCUUUUAGAAGAUGUAUCUGAUGGAGAAAUAAGACGCAACAGUAAAAUAAUAAGGGAAGAUUCUAAUGGAAAUAUGUAUGUGCAUGGAGUAAAUGAACAAGAAGUAUUUAACGCAGAUGAAGCUUUUGAAUGGUUGAGAAAAGGUCAGUUAAGAAAGCGUACUGCACCAACAUUUUUGAACAUGGAUUCCAGUCGUAGUCAUACAGUUUUUACUAUAAGAGUUGUGCAAGCACCUUUGGAUACUGAUGGUGUAAGUAUAAUUCAAGAUAAGAAAUAUACUGUUGUGAGUCAGCUGUCACUAGUAGAUUUAGCUGGUAGUGAACGAGCUGGGAAAGCAAAGACCACUGGACAAAGACUUCAAGAAGCUGGAGAAAUAAAUAAGUCACUGUCAAAUUUAAAACAAUGUCUUAAGAUAUUAUAUGAAAAUCAAUCUUCUAGCAAUUUAAGAAAUAUUGCUGAAAAAAUACCGUAUAGAACAUCACGUCUUACCCAUCUGUUCAAAAGUUUCUUUGAAGGUUCUGGUUCGAUCAGAAUGCUAAUUUGUGUUAACCCUAUGUCUGAAUAUACAGAGCUUUUGCCUGUACUUCAAUUCGGUGAAAUGUCUGGAAGUGUUCAAGUAAAAAGAACAACUCCAUUGCGUAUGGAUAUAGGUUUAACUCCAGGAAGAAGAAAAGUUAUUGAUAUUCAAUCUUUAAAUCGCAUUCCAUGUGUAAUUGAGGAAGGUACUAAAUUUCCACAAGACAAUAAAAUAAAUUAUGAAUCAAAAGAAAACUGUUUUGGAAGUUAUUUAAAUUUGGGGCCUCCUUUGCCGGAUUUAGAAGUAGAUGAUUUAUUAGAUGACGAGAAGAGACAGCAAUUAAUUACUGCUCUUGAUCAAAGAAUAAAAAAAAAGGAAGAACUUCGUGAAUUGUUGAUUACUCAGAGUAAUGACAUACGAUCACAAAUAGUAGUUUUAGAAAGCAAUUUUGCGGGUGCUAAACAAGAAAUAAAUUCAUUGCAAAUUCUGAGAGACCAAGAUACUAAUAAAGUUAAGCAAUAUCAAAACAAAUCAUUUUUAUUAGAAAAUGAAUUGGCCUCGUUAAAAAGAAAAUUAGAGUUUAUGGAUAAUGAAAAUAAAAGAUUAAAAUCAGAUUUAAAUGCAAAAGACAACAUGUUAAAUCAAGUUUCAGUAGAUAAAGAUCUGUUAAAACAAAAAUACAAUACAAAAAUUGUUAAAAAACAAGAACAGUUAUCUAGAGAAUUCAAAGAUAAAUGGAAAGUUCAAGAAAAUGAGUUUGAGGCAAAAUUACAAGAUAAAAAACGCAAAUUAAGACAUAUCAAAAAUAUUGUGGAAAGCACAGAAAAUAUUCCUGGCCAUUUCUCCAGGCGUAUUGUAAAAAGAACUCUGUCUGACGAAAGCUUAAACAAAAUAGAACCAGUUGUGAAUAAUGGUAAACCCUCAGAGUCAAAACAAAACGAGCCAUCACAAGCAACACUAAGAUAUUUACGUUCAAGACGAUCUAAAUCGUGUGACCCUCAUGAACGUUGGAUCGAACACAAACCACCAGUGCCUAUUCCUUUACAAACUGUUAUGCAACCUAAAUUAAAGAAGCGCAAAUCCAUUACCAAAUUAACAGAUGCCAAAACAGUAUCGAAUAAUGGCGCAUCAAAAUAUUGUUUAUUGACACAAGGAUCGGAUGAACAAGGCAUUCCAGAAGCUAAACUAUAUAAAGCUGAUAUUAUACAAACCAUGGGUGGAGGUGCGCAGGUUGUGUUCAAUGAUGUCGAAACGCUAAAACAGGAUUCACCACUAGGUGGAUCUCCUGUGAAAAACCGUAUCCAGGCUUACAAUAAUGAAGUUAAGGCUCAUAGAGGUAGUUCCGAAGAUAUACAAUCAAAAUGUUAUGGAAUACAAGGAGGCUAUACUCCAACAUCUAGAAAAUGAUAUAUUAAAAUAUAAACGUUAUCCAUUUUACAUUUAAGGAGAAUUGGCUAACAACAGAAAAAGAGAUCAAUCUAACUUUAUUUGACAGUGUAAACAAUCGGUUCAAUAAAAAAUAGCAUCUCAAUCACAACUGCUUCAAUGCUAUGUCAAUAUGAGUGUAGUCUGCUUUUUUACAAUUGAAUGUUAACCUUUUCCACUACAAAAUCAAUUGUUUUUAUUUAUUUUUUUUACAUUUUUGUACUAUAAGUUUUUUUUUUUUUUUGAUAUAUAAUUUUAUAAUUAUUAUUUAUAACUAAAUUUUGCUUGCAGAAAUGUAGUGACAAGAUUAUUUUC
rnacentral:misc_RNA from 1 species